UCCUGAGAAAAGGUAUCCGGUCGUAAGACAAAGGGUGGCAGCAGAAGACUGCUUUGAUAGAACAGCAGUGUAUGCCCCAAGGUUCGCCGAGGGGCGAGCUGGCUGUUACUAACAACCCAAUACAUCAGUCAG
rnacentral:rRNA from 1 species